AUUGAACGCUGGCGGCAUGCUUUACACAUGCAAGUCGAACGGUAACGCGGGGCAACCUGGCGACGAGUGGCGAACGGGUGAGUAAUGCAUCGGAACGUGCCCGGUAGUGGGGGAUAACUGCUCGAAAGAGCAGCUAAUACCGCAUACGACCUGAGGGUGAAAGGGGGGGAUCGCAAGACCUCUCGCUAUUGGAGCGGCCGAUGUCGGAUUAGCUAGUUGGUGGGGUAAGGGCCCACCAAGGCGACGAUCCGUAGCUGGUCUGAGAGGACGACCAGCCACACUGGGACUGAGACACGGCCCAGACUCCUACGGGAGGCAGCAGUGGGGAAUUUUGGACAAUGGACGCAAGUCUGAUCCAGCCAUGCCGCGUGCGGGAAGAAGGCCUUCGGGUUGUAAACCGCUUUUGUCAGAGAAGAAAUCUUCUGGGUUAAUACCUCGGGAGGAUGACGGUAUCUGAAGAAUAAGCACCGGCUAACUACGUGCCAGCCGCCGCAGUAA
rnacentral:rRNA from 1 species